AUUGAACGCUGGCGGCAGGCCUAACACAUGCAAGUCGAGCGAGCGGCGGACGGGUGAGUAAUGUCUGGGAAACUUCCUGAUGGAGGGGGAUAACUACUGGAAACGGUGGCUAAUACCGCAUACCAUCAGAUGUGCCCAGUGGGGAUUAGCUAGUAGGUGGGGUAACGGCUCACCUAGGCGACGAUGCCUAGCUGGUCUGAGAGGCUGAACAGCCACACUGGAACUGAGACACGGUCCAGACUCCUACGGGAGGCAGCAGUGGGGAAUAUUGCACAAUGGGCGCAAGCCUGAUGCAGCCAUGCCGCGUGUGUGAAGAAGGCCUUCGGGUUGUAAAGCACUUUCAGCGGGGAGGCGUUACCCGCAGAAGAAGCACCGGCUAACUCCGUGCCAGCAGCCGCGGUAAUUC
rnacentral:rRNA from 1 species